rnacentral:rRNA from 1 species
UACGUAGGGUCCGAGCGUUGUCCGGAGUUACUGGGCGUAAAGAGCUCGUAGGCGGCUUGUCGCGUCGACUGUGAAAUCCCGCGGCUCAACUGCGGGUCUGCAGUCGAUACGGGCAGGCUAGAGUUCGGUAGGGGAGACUGGAAUUUCUGGUGUAGCGGUGAAAUGCGCAGAUAUCAGGAGGAACACCAGUGGCGAAGGCGGUGCUCUGGGCCGGAACUGACGCUGAGGAGCGAAAGCGUGGGGGAGCAAACAGG